UACGUAGGGGGCUAGCGUUGUCCGGAUUUAUUGGGCGUAAAGAGCGUGUAGGCGGCCUGGUAGGUCUGCUGUGAAAACUCGAGGCUCAACCUCGAGAUGUCGGCGGAAACCAUCUGGCUAGAGUCCGGAAGAGGCGAGUGGAAUUCCCGGUGUAGCGGUGAAAUGCGCAGAUAUCGGGAGGAACACCUAUGGCGAAGGCAGCUCGCUGGGACGUUACUGACGCUGAGACGCGAAAGCGUGGGGAGCAAACAGG
rnacentral:rRNA from 1 species